rnacentral:rRNA from 1 species
GUGGGGAAUUUUGGACAAUGGGCGCAAGCCUGAUCCAGCAAUGCCGCGUGCAGGAAGAAGGCCUUCGGGUUGUAAACUGCUUUUGUACGGAACGAAACGGUCCGGGUUAAUACCCUGGGCUAAUGACGGUACCGUAAGAAUAAGCACCGGCUAACUACGUGCCAGCAGCCGCGGUAAUACGUAGGGUGCAAGCGUUAAUCGGAAUUACUGGGCGUAAAGCGUGCGCAGGCGGUUUUGUAAGACAGGCGUGAAAUCCCCGGGCUCAACCUGGGAAUUGCGCUUGUGACUGCAAGGCUGGAGUGCGGCAGAGGGGGAUGGAAUUCCGCGUGUAGCAGUGAAAUGCGUAGAUAUGCGGAGGAACACCGAUGGCGAAGGCAAUCCCCUGGGCCUGCACUGACGCUCAUGCACGAAAGCGUGGGUAGCGAACAGGAUUAGAAACCCGGGUAGUCC